rnacentral:lncRNA from 1 species
CUCUCCCUUUCCAUCAAGCAAAUUGUUUUCCUCCAUUAAGUCUUUGAUGUGUCAAGCCUUGAUUGAACUAGUCCAAAAAUGAUGUAGUGGAUGUGGUUCAAUCAAUAAUUUUUUAAGAUGAUGAGGCUCUCUUAAGGGUAGGGGUCCUUCUAUUUUUUUUAGUUCCAAAUGAAAGUCCCACUACCAUAUUGGAAAACUACAUAAAUACACUAAGCUAUCAUGCACCUGAGCGGGAGGGAGAAGGGGAGAGAAAGAAAGACAGAGAGAGGAAGGAGGGCGGCUUAUUGGUGAUGCAACAGAGGGUGGUGGUGAUCUCUACUACAGAGGAAGGAGAUGGAUGUUGAAUAUAGAGAGAAAAAGAAGAAUUUUUAUUUUCAUAUUGUAUGGGGUGAAGUAGUCCCCAUUAUAUAUAAUAAUUUUAUCUUUUAC